UAUUAAUAAGUUCGAUCGGCCUAAUAAUCGAUUUUACUACGUAAAAGUAACUAGGUCAUCGUUUUAACCUUCUUAAAACAUUUAACCAAAAUCGGUAAACGUGAAUUGUCAUUAAUUAAAUUGAUACGUAACCCCUGCCCGUACAAUUAAUUGCCAAUGAUGUUUUCCAUUUUGUCUCUCGAAUGAAAGAGAUCACGAUUUGUUUUAACAAAUAUUUACAAAUUUUAUUUAUCUAUAUUACACAGAUUAGAAAAUUGUCACUUCUAAAAUUGCACUAAAAUUAAUCUAUAAUUACACAGUUAUUGUAAUUAACAGACGCGUUACAUACAGUAUGAUAAUUUGUUACUAUAAAUAUUGUUGUUUGCUUCUGGAUAAUUAUUAAAGCGAUGUUCUUUAUCAGAGGCGUGUCUUACGAGGCGUUACAUCGAGAUUAACUUUCGUAAAACUUGAUGAGAAAGAGAAAGAGAGAGAGAGAGAGAAGAGGGAUGGAUGGAUGGAUGGAUGGAUGGAGUGAGAGAGAAAAAACGAUAGAGGUCGGUGAGAAUCGAUAAAUCGAACUUUAAGAGGUGUGACGUAUACCAGGUUGCUGUUGUAAGUUCAAACAAGUGUAAGAUCGGAAAGAAUAAUUAAAGAAGCACCUAGGUACUUAAGGUCGAGUCUGUUUGAAAGACGUUUGGAUCGAUGUUCCACUUUUCAACAGGCGCGUGCAGUCUGGCGAAAAA
rnacentral:lncRNA from 1 species